UAGCUCAAUUGGUAAAUACUCUA
rnacentral:siRNA from 1 species